UACGAAGGGGGCUAGCGUUGUUCGGAAUCACUGGGCGUAAAGGGCGCGUAGGCGGCCUUCUAAGUCGAACGUGAAAUCCCUGGGCUCAACCCAGGAACUGCGUCCGAUACUGAAAGGCUUGAAUCCGGGAGAGGGAUGCGGAAUUCCAGGUGUAGCGGUGAAAUGCGUAGAUAUCUGGAGGAACACCGGUGGCGAAGGCGGCAUCCUGGGACCGGUAUUGACGCUGAGGCGCGAAAGCCAGGGGAGCAAACGGGG
rnacentral:rRNA from 1 species